GCAGGGUCAUUGCACACACCUGAGACCUGCACACAAGAAAGGGAGGUGACAGAACAGCAUAACACAUCUCAGGAAGUGGUGGUGCUCCACCUUGUUGGAGAAUCUCCAUACUGAAGGUCAUUGCAAACGGUUUGCUCAUUUCACGGAGGAGGGCAGAGAGAUGGCAAGAGGAACUCUACCACCUAUCUUCGGUAUCCCGAGGAAGCGCAAAGUGUCCGAAAUGGAGGAGACAUAACAUUUGUCUUUUCUUUAUUUCUUUAUUUUUUAUUGGUUGGUUUGAAGAGAAGAGCAGAAAAUUAAAUUGAUAAUAAUGGAUGGAA
ensembl:lncRNA